GACGAACGCUGGCGGCGUGCUUAACACAUGCAAGUCGAACGGAAAGGCCCUGCUUUUGUGGGGUGCUCGAGUGGCGAACGGGUGAGUAACACGUGAGUAACCUGCUCUUGACUUUGGGAUAACUUCAGGAAACUGGGGCUAAUACCGGAUAGGAGCUCCUGUUGCAUGGUGGGGGUUGGAAAGUUUCGGCGGUUGGGGAUGGACUCGCGGCUUAUCAGCUUGUUGGUGGGGUAGUGGCUUACCAAGGCUUUGACGGGUAGCCGGCCUGAGAGGGUGACCGGCCACAUUGGGUCUGGGAUGCAGCACAGGCUACUACGGGAGGAAGGAGUGAAGAAUAUUGCAGAAAGGGCGGGUGGGUGAUGCAGGCACGCCGCGUGCGGAAUGACGGCGUUCGGGUUGUAAAGCACUUUCGUCUGACGAAGCGUGAGUGACGGUAAUGGGUGAAGAAGCACCGGCUAACUACGUG
rnacentral:rRNA from 1 species